ensembl:lncRNA
GGAGAAUGAGAAGACAGAAGACCUUUAUAGAACCUUUUAAUUCUUACCAUGUAGAUAACCAGAUUCUCCAGCUAUUGGCAGCAUGGUGGGGACGCAGAGGCUGGAUUCUGCUACAGUCAGGACUUACUCCUGUUGAGCUUCGGGAAGAAAUGCUUUUUGUCUGCAGCAUGAAGCGAUUUAAAAGUACUGGGUGUUCAAUGUGAGCUUCUAAUGAAAUUUGGGCUGAAAGGAUGACUAGAAGAUGACUAUUAAAAUCUCUCCUGUAACCUAGUCUCUGGACCCGGAUCCCUCCUCUCCAGUGAGACUCUUUGAGGACCAAUCGCGAUGCCCUGCACCCACUGCGGAGCCAUUGAGUUGGACAGUGAGGGCGCCACAUCCCUGACAGACAGCAUAGUGCAGCUCUGACAAAGGCCUUAUUUUUCUGAU